GACUCACUACUGGAGAGGGGAGGCAGCUUCAAGAGGGGAGGCAGCUUCACAGCCACUGGAAGCUCGAGGAGGAAAACAGGGGCCCCAGCAGCCCGCGCCAGGGAAGCGUGGGAAACAACAGGCGCAACAGGAGCCCGCGGAGCCGGCCCAACAGAGAAACAGGUCGGACUCCUGCAGGGAAGCUCCGCCAAUGAGGCCAAGUGCCAGCAAAAUAAAGCACAACACUUAACCCACUGGAUAUUUAUCACCGACCAUGCACCUUGAAGAGACUAUGGAGUGGUAUAAGAUUGUAAAAGAGGAAGAAAGAAGAAGGGAGGGAGAAAAAGGAAGAAGAAAGAAAAGGGACAGGAGAAAGAAAGAGAAGGGACAGGAGGAAGAAAGAGAAGGAAAAAGGAAAAUGAAACAAAAGAAAGGAAGGAAAGAAGGAAAAGAAAAAAGAAACCAAAGGCACAGAAUUCCAAGUCUAGCUGGGGGUGGGGCUGGGGUAUCUGAAACUGCACACAGAAGCUCUGCUCUCAAGCUCCCCAAGGCCUCCUGGACAACUCCAAGUGUGAGUUCCAUCAAUAUCACACAACGAAAGUUUCUGAACCAUAAAGCAUCAUCUCCCUACCAAAUCUGAUUCCUAGUGGUUCAUGCUACUGACAACUCUCCUAAUUCAAAUCGUGGCCAUCUGGCUUUCCUUCUUCUCCCUUAUUUUCCAUAUCAACCAGCCACCACUUCCAUUAUUGUGUCACUGCUCUCUUUAUAUCCCUUUGCACCCCGACUGCCAGGAGGGAAACAGGCUCAGUGUGGGUGCCCAUCCUCUCCCUACGGACCAAGCCAGGAGAGUAGGUAGUAGCCAACAUGACAUCAUCAACUGAGAUGUGCCAAAGAAUCCACCGUCCUCCUGCUCAUGCCCAUGAAUAUCUCCUCCACCCACAUUUGACAGGGCUUGAAAUGUCCUUAAAAUGUUUUUUUUUAAUUGCUUCAGCAUUGCUCCAUCCUUAAGUUUAAAAACUGUAAAUGUUUCUGUUUUACAGUAACUCUUUGUGCCUCUAAAACCUUCAUAAGACUCUGUUGAUCACUCUCUUCUUCCUACACUGCUUCCUUAGGAAGAGUAGACAGUGCUGGGGUAAUGGAAAAGGGCAGCAAAACCAACCUAACCCCAUUCACAGCUUUGACUAAGGUGCUGCGCGUCUAGUUGUUGGAAUAUGCGUGGGAGUGAGGUGGCUUUCACAUGGCAGUUUCUGGUCACCCCAGAUGUACAGUGGAAUCUACCCUCUCCCAGGUUAUAACUCAACAAGCAAAGAUAUGGGAAAAGAAGAAAAUAGUUUUCUAAGAAGAAACAAAUAGAAGCCAGACCAUUCAGGGCUGGAAGAGCAGCAGUUUUCUAUUGAUAACCCCAUUCUAGUUCUACUGAUGAGGUUAAAAUAAAUGGAGUGCACCUUUUAGGUUCCCUUGA